GAAAACCUUGAAGAUAGCGUCUGAAAUCAAGGACGUCGUUCUGAGGCUUGAUAGCAAGUCUGGAUCGAGCAAUCCGGUGGAUUUAAUUGUGAAGGUUCCUGAGAUUACAGAAGAAAGUGUUGGAUUGGAAACGCCAGUUGAGAAAUUGAAGGCGAAACUUUUCAAAGAUGGGGUUCGAUUGUUGGUAUUGACAGCUCCCGGAGGUUGUGGAAAAAGCACUCUGGCCGUAAGAUUUUGUCACGACAAGCAAGUUAAAAAUAAAUUUCAGAGAAACAUCUUUUUCCUCACUGUUUCAAGCAAACCUGAUACGAAACUCAUCUUAAAAUCUAUAAUUCAAAGCCUCGGGAGGCCUGUAGUAUCAG
rnacentral:misc_RNA from 1 species